rnacentral:rRNA from 1 species
GAGUUUGAUUAUGGCUCAGGACGAACGCUGGCGGCGUGCCUAAUACAUGCAAGUCGAACGAACGGAGAAAGAAGCUUGCUUUUUUCAAAGUUAGUAGCGAACGGGUGAGUAACACGUGGGUAACCUGCCCAUCAGAGGGGGAUAACAUUCGGAAACGGAUGCUAAAACCGCAUAGGUUCCUUAGUUGCAUGACUGAGGAAGGAAAAGAGGCGUAAGCUUCUGCUGGUGGAUGGACCCGCGGUGCAUUAGCUAGUUGGUGAGGUAACGGCUCACCAAGGCGAUGAUGCAUAGCCGACCUGAGAGGGUGAUCGGCCACAUUGGGACUGAGACACGGCCCAAACUCCUACGGGAGGCAGCAGUAGGGAAUCUUCCGCAAUGGACGCAAGUCUGACGGAGCAACGCCGCGUGAGUGAAGAAGGUUUUCGGAUCGUAAAACUCUGUUGUUAGAGAAGAAUAAGCAUAAUAGUAACUGAUUAUG